CCUACGGGUGGCAGCAGUGGGGAAUAUUGGUCAAUGGGCGCAAGCCUGACCCAGCAACGCCGCGUGAAGGAAGACGGCUCUCGGGUUGUAAACUUCUUUUCUCAGGGACGAAAAAAGUGACGGUACCUGCGGAAUAAGCCACGGCUAACUACGUGCCAGCAGCAGCGGUAAUACGUAGGUGGCAAGCGUUAUCCGGAUUUAUUGGGUGUAAAGGGCGGGUAGGCGGGAGGGCAAGUCAGAGGUGAAAACUCAGGGCUCAACCCUGAGCCUGCAUUUGAAACUGUGUUUCUUGAGUGCUGGAGAGGCAAUCGGAAUUCGGGGUGUAGCGGUGAAAUGCGUAGAUAUAAGGAAGAACACCAGUGGCGAAGGCGGAUUGCUGGACAGUAACUGACGCUGAGGCGCGAAAGCGUGGGGAGCAAACAGGAUUAGAUACCCGAGUAGUC
rnacentral:rRNA from 1 species